rnacentral:tRNA from 1 species
UCCCUGGUGGCUCAGAUGGUAAAGCAUCUGCCUGCAAUGCGGGAGACCUGGGUUCAAUUCCUGGGUGGGGAA